GAACAUGUUAGACGAAUCAUCUGGAAAGAUGAAUCAAAGAAGGUAAUAAUCCUGUAGUCGAAAACAUAUUCUCUCUUGAGUGGAUCCUGAGUACGACGGAGCACGUGAAAUUCCGUCGGAAUCUGGGAGGACCAUCUCCUAAGGCUAAAUACUCUCUAGUGACCGAUAGUGAACCAGUACCGUGAGGGAAAGGUGAAAAGUACCCCGGAAGGGGAGUGAAAGAGAACUUGAAACCGUGUGCUUACAAGUAGUCAGAGCCCGUUAAUGGGUGAUGGCGUGCCUUUUGUAGAAUGAACCGGCGAGUUACGAUCUGAUGCAAGGUUAAGCAGCAAAUGUGGAGCCGCAGCGAAAGCGAGUCUGAAUAGGGCGUUGAGUAUUUGGUCGUAGACCCGAAACCAGGUGAUCUACCCUUGGUCAGGUUGAAGUUCAGGUAACACUGAAUGGAGGACCGAACCGACUUACGUUGAAAAGUGAGCGGAUGAACUGAGGGUAGCGGAGAAAUUCCAAUCGAACUUGGAGAUAGCUGGUUCUCUCCGAAAUAGCUUUAGGGCUAGCCUCAAGUGAUGAUUAUUGGAGGUAGAGCACUGUUUGGACGAGGGGCCCCUCUCGGGUUACCGAAUUCAGAUAAACUCCGAAUGCCAAUUAAUUUAACUUGGGAGUCAGAACAUGGGUGAUAAGGUCCGUGUUCGAAAGGGAAACAGCCCAGACCACCAGCUAAGGUCCCAAAAUAUAUGUUAAGUGGAAAAGGAUGUGGCGUUGCCCAGACAACUAGGAUGUUGGCUUAGAAGCAGCCAUCAUUUAAAGAGUGCGUAAUAGCUCACUAGUCGAGUGACACUGCGCCGAAAAUGUACCGGGGCUAAACAUAUUACCGAAGCUGUGGAUUGUCCUUUGGACAAUGGUAGGAGAGCGUUCUAAGGGCGUCGAAGCAUGAUCGCAAGGACAUGUGGAGCGCUUAGAAGUGAGAAUGCCGGUGUGAGUAGCGAAAGACGGGUGAGAAUCCCGUCCACCGAUUGACUAAGGUUUCCAGAGGAAGGCUCGUCCGCUCUGGGUUAGUCGGGUCCUAAGCUGAGGCCGACAGGCGUAGGCGAUGGAUAACAGGUUGAUAUUCCUGUACCACCUAGUAUCGUUUUAAUCGAUGGGGGGACGCAGUAGGAUAGGCGAAGCGUGCUGUUGGAGUGCACGUCCAAGCAGUAAGGCUGAGUGUUAGGCAAAUCCGGCACUCAUAAGGCUGAGCUGUGAUGGGGAGAGGAAAUUGUUUCCUCGAGUCGUUGAUUUCACACUGCCGAGAAAAGCCUCUAGAUAGAUAACAGGUGCCCGUACCGCAAACCGACACAGGUAGUCAAGAUGAGGAUUNNNNNNNNNNNNNNNNNNNNNNNNNNNNNNNNNNNNNNNNNNNNNNNNNNNNNNNNNNNNNNNNNNNNNNNNNNNNNNNNNNNNNNNNNNNNNNGGAUUCUAAGGUGAGCGAGCGAACUCUCGUUAAGGAACUCGGCAAAAUGACCCCGUAACUUCGGGAGAAGGGGUGCUCUUUAGGGUUCACGCCCAGAAGAGCCGCAGUGAAUAGGCCCAAGCGACUGUUUAUCAAAAACACAGGUCUCUGCUAAACCGUAAGGUGAUGUAUAGGGGCUGACGCCUGCCCGGUGCUGGAAGGUUAAGAGGAGUGGUUAGCUUCUGCGAAGCUACGAAUCGAAGCCCCAGUAAACGGCGGCCGUAACUAUAACGGUCCUAAGGUAGCGAAAUUCCUUGUCGGGUAAGUUCCGACCCGCACGAAAGGCGUAACGAUUUGGGCACUGUCUCAACGAGAGACUCGGUGAAAUCAUAGUACCUGUGAAGAUGCAGGUUACCCGCGACAGGACGGAAAGACCCCGUGGAGCUUUACUGUAGCCUGAUAUUGAAAUUCGGCACAGCUUGUACAGGAUAGGUAGGAGCCUUUGAAACGUGAGCGCUAGCUUACGUGGAGGCGUUGGUGGGAUACUACCCUAGCUGUGUUGGCUUUCUAACCCGCACCACUUAUCGUGGUGGGAGACAGUGUCAGGCGGGCAGUUUGACUGGGGCGGUCGCCUCCUAAAAGGUAACGGAGGCGCUCAAAGGUUCCCUCAGAAUGGUUGGAAAUCAUUCAUAGAGUGUAAAGGCAUAAGGGAGCUUGACUGCGAGACCUACAAGUCGAGCAGGGUCGAAAGACGGACUUAGUGAUCCGGUGGUUCCGCAUGGAAGGGCCAUCGCUCAACGGAUAAAAGCUACCCCGGGGAUAACAGGCUUAUCUCCCCCAAGAGUUCACAUCGACGGGGAGGUUUGGCACCUCGAUGUCGGCUCAUCGCAUCCUGGGGCUGUAGUCGGUCCCAAGGGUUGGGCUGUUCGCCCAUUAAAGCGGUACGCGAGCUGGGUUCAGAACGUCGUGAGACAGUUCGGUCCCUAUCCGUCGUGGGCGUAGGAAAUUUGAGAGGAGCUGUCCUUAGUACGAGAGGACCGGGAUGGACAUACCUCUGGUGUACCAGUUGUCGUGCCAACGGCAUAGCUGGGUAGCUAUGUAUGGACGGGAUAAGUGCUGAAAGCAUCUAAGCAUGAAGCCCCCCUCAAGAUGAGAUUUC
rnacentral:rRNA from 1 species